GACGAACGCUGGCGGCAGGCCUAACACAUGCAAGUCGAGCGGACCUUUCGGGGUCAGCGGCGGACGGGUGAGUAACGCGUGGGAAUAUGCCCUUCUCUACGGAAUAGUCCUGGGAAACUGGGGGUAAUACCGUAUACGCCCUUUGGGGGAAAGAUUUAUCGGGGAAGGAUUAGCCCGCGUUGGAUUAGGUAGUUGGUGGGGUAAUGGCCUACCAAGCCGACGAUCCAUAGCUGGUUUGAGAGGAUGAUCAGCCACACUGGGACUGAGACACGGCCCAGACUCCUACGGGAGGCAGCAGUGGGGAAUCAUAGACAAUGGGGGCAACCCUGAUCUAGCCAUGCCGCGUGAGUGAUGAAGGCCUUAGGGUUGUAAAGCUCUUUCAGCUGGGAAGAUAAUGACGGUACCAGCAGAAGAAGCCCCGGCUAACUCCGUG
rnacentral:rRNA from 1 species